UGCUAACAGCCGGAUACAGCCCCAAGCCAGAAAUGUGGAGGAGGAGGAACAAGCAACCUGGUACAGUGUCUAAGAACAAGUAACAGGGCAAAAAAAGCGCUUCCCCACAAGGGAACUUACGGCAGGCGGCACAGAAGGGUCUCCAGGGGAGCGGGGUUCAGUCGACAUGACUGCACGCUGACUCCGAUGUACGCCGGUACACAGACGUUCGGCACUUGCUGGCGCCGAAAUUUGAACUGGAGACGCUUCCUGGAUGACGUCACUUCCCCCGUCCACCGGAAGUGACGUCUGCCGCUUUUCUGAAGCGCUUAGGCGCGCACCCAGCGAUAGCCAAGGAGGCCCGGCGGGAGAUCGCGACCCGGGAGCAGGCUCACAUAUAGAAAUGGAGCGAGGCCUCCCUCCUUCACCCCUGCCCAGCGUUAGUACAGAGACCGCAGGAGGGCAGGGGGAACACCAGGUAAGGUGUCAAUAAGUUAUCCAUCUUCAUCUCCCCACAGGGAGACUCUCUCUGCCCCUGUCCUCUGUAGGGAC